UGUUGAAACUGAUCAGAUCCAACCUCUCACACCUACCCUACAAUGUUAUUCUAAAAAUAAGCAAUCACAUUGUCAUUAUCUCAAGGCUAUGAGAUAAGCAUUACA